rnacentral:lncRNA from 1 species
AGCAAUUUGGAUGUCUGCAUAAAAGCAGACUUGUUUUUUUUUCUCUCCACUUCUGGCUCCUGGAAAUAAUAUUCUCUUAACCUUUUGGAAUUAAACCAGCCAAAUAGAGUGUAACAUGUUUCUUAAUCAUUUGGGCCACCUUCUCCUUUCUGAAUGGAUGUUGGUUUCAGUGGGAAUGUUUUCUGUGGUUGUGGAUCAUUGAGAAGAUGGUGCUGAUUUGCUCUGGUAAGCUGAAGGAACAACCAGGCACGUGGCAUGAAGUGAAAUAAGGACAAAUGCAAGAGACAUCCUGGAGACAGGCAACUGAGGACAAAGAAAGUCUGUGGGGAAAGGGUGGUGAACCAGGUGCCCACCUGCCAGCAUUAUUGCUGAGGCACAUCUCAGCCAGGCCAUCAAGCUCCAGAUGAUCCUCAGUGAGGGAUACCGCUCUCUCAGUAUUCAAGAGUCACCCUUCCACAGAGAAGCCCUAGACUGCCCAUCAGUGGAAUAUGAGAGAGAGCCAGAGCCUUCAGACCAAGACAAUCGAACAUCCCUGGAUAUCUGAGAUAGCCAGCCUUUCUUCUGGAGAGCUUCCCAGUUGGCAUGAUGACAACGUAUUUGGCCCUGGCAAUAGAUUAUGGCUGGUACAAACCAGUUCUCAGGAUAUCUUACAACUAGAGGCAGCCUUAAGACCCUGUUUUGUCGAGAAUACCUACUUGGAAGUCUAGUCAAAAGUGGCAGCUCACCCUCCUGUUUCAACUCAGAAGUCCUUCUCCAUUACCACCCCUGUCAAGUGAGGAGCUGCUGUUUCUCCUACUAAUGAGCAGAGCAGGAUUCUUGGUUGAAAAUAGAAGAAAUAGACUUUGGAUAAAUUAAGUGUAAAGGAAAUGCGUUGGAAGUGUGAUAACUCACAGCAUCAGAUCAAACAUCAAACUGCCAAAGACAGAAAAUUAUUUACUGAUGUACAUUAUUUGACAAACUAUUCAAAGGAAUGACCCCACUAUUUAUGCAGUUUUAAGCAGAGAAGGAGAGUCUCCAGGAACUAUACGAAUUAAUCAACUUGAGCAAUCAGCCUGUUUUACAGCCUCCUGCCUUGGAGACUACUUUUUCCAAAACUCUAUGUGGGAUGUGGUCACCUAGUUGGUUGGAACCAGCUCCUGACAGACCCCAGCAACUGACAGAUGAACCUGAGUGAACUUUCCUCAUUAUCAUGCUAAAGUCUCCAUCCCGAAAGGAACUAUAGCUUCAUUACCAGAACAUGCAACCUUUGUGCUGGCAUAAAGGCUCACUGCGUCUAAAGCAACUGGGACCCGUCCCGUACAUGUGAUGAUGCACACUCUCCUCUCUCCAUAGCGCCAUAAACUCUCUCAGGGAGACACUGCUUUGAGGAAUGCUUCCUUACUUGUGCUAAGUAAUAAAACUCCUAUUGAUUAAAAUUUACAUUCUUGUGGAUUCGUUUGUUACUGGACAAGUGAGUGAAUUCAUUUUUUUUCAGGUUAGUCAUCAAAAUAAACUUUGUGGAUAUGAUUGUACAUUACUUAUUCUUUUAUUCUCAUACCUCCAUUUAUAUUCAUGUUCUGUUAAUUCUACAUUCCUAAAGAAUUAAACUUUCUCUUCCAAAAGAUCUAUUAUGGCCUUUAUACAAUGUCUUUAUAAUUUUCUAUGAGAACUAUUGAAGUAGCUGCCUAAUUAAUAUCUCCGUCUUAGGUUUGUAACCUUUUUGUUCAUUUUCUAGUCUUCUAUCAAAGUAAUCUUUCUCAAAUAUAAAUCUGGUCAUAUUUGUUCCAUGCUUACAUCUCUUUGAUUACUUCCCAUUAUCUACUAAAAAAUGUUCAAAUGUCUGGCUCGAGAAACAUGAUCUUCUUGAUGAUUUUGCUGGCUUUUUCAUCUUCAUUUUCUACUUGUGACCCCUUGAAUCCAACAAACCAGUUAUAAUAAAGCAUGCUUUUCUUCAUCAUUUGCUACCUUUUCAUGGAAUAUCUUAUCCUUUGCCCUCCAUUUCCCUUAUAUCUUCUCUUUGUAGAUCAAGUUCAAGCAAUAUGUUCUCUGUGAAGUUUUUCCUGACUAGUCCUAAUGCAACUACCUCUCAAAGUUAUGUUAAUAGCAGACCUUCCCUUUACAUAACUCCAUGCUAUACAGACCUCUCUUAUAUUACCUACAGUAUAUUUCCAUGUUUUUUUAUCUUGCUAGCCUGUAAGACCUCUAAGGCUAUUACUCAUUUUUGUAAUAUCAAAAGUACAAGUUAUAUAUGGUAUGUAAUGAGUGAUUAAAACAUUUGUUGAACGAUUUUACAUGUGUGUCUAAAAUGCAGCGUUGGUUCC